UAUUUAUAAAAUAUAGAUUAUAAAGGACAUAUGCUCAUUAUACUAUAUUGAUACGUUUUAUAAAGUAUCACAUGCCUUAGUUUGUAUGAUAAUUUAUACAUGUUACAUUAUAAGCUAACAAUUAGUUGUGUAAGAUCAUCUUUCCUUCCUCAAAUAAAAUAAAAUAAAAUAAAAUUAAAAAAAAAACUACUGAUUUGCUGAUUAGGCAGUUAAUUAACAAAAACAAAAACAUCAUCACAAAUCCCAAACUUGAUUAGGCGCUUAAUUCCCUUUCAUUAGCCGCCAACUUAUUAAAAAUUUUAGCAAAACCCCAAAAUAUGCCUUAAAACUCAGAAACCUUCCCUUAUAAAAAAAAAAAAAAAACCAAAAAUCUUUUUUGUUGGAGAACCAAAACCGUUCAAACGAUACCUAGAUCGAAGAUUCGACUAACGCGCAAGAUUAAUUCUUGGUCAAAAUUUCAAGAUGAAUGAGUAUGAAAGAAAGAGGCUUCUAACAAUUGCAGCCAACAAACAAAGAUUGGAGUUGUUGGGCGUAAAACGAAUUGCUUCCUCUAUGACGAGUUUGGUUGAAAGUACAAAAAAGAAGAAAAGAAAAGAAAAAAGCAGUGCUGGCAGGGGCGAUGAUGAUUAUAUUCCCAAUGAUGAUGAGCUUGAGGUUCAUGAACACGAGAAUGAACCUCAAAUCAGAUUUACAAGAAGGGUAUCAUUUCAACUAAGAAUGAUUCAAUUUGCUUCCCAUCAAUUAUAAUAAUUUUUGAUAUUUUAUAAAUUUGUAUCACGCUAACAUAAGAAAUUUGAGAGAAGGAAACAGAAAAGGGAAUUUCAUUCCACCAAAGUCAUUGGCAAAGUUGCAAAAGAUGAACAAAAAAGCACAAGAAGAAAUUGCCAUGGACAAAGAACAAAAAGAAAAUGAAGAAGGAGAGACAAGGGAUGAUAAUAACAACACAACUCAAUAUUAUGAUGAGGAUGGACAAAUUGGUCAAUAUCUUGAACGUGAAAAUGCAUCUUCAGAUAGUGAACCACUCAUUAACAACGAACUCAUGAAUAUAACAGAGGAGGAGGAAUUAAACAUUUCAGCAAGUACAAUUGUGAAAAAAAGAGGGACAGUAUAUUGCAGGAAGCUUACCCUACUACCUCCGGGUGAAAAACUAAAUGUGGAGUUUGAUGAGGAUGGUGUUGUUAUUGGUGACAAUGCCUCGUUAUUUUCUUUCUUCUUGGGUCAACAAGUUCGUAAUAAAUCUGUUUGUCCAAUACAAGUCAAGGGUUGGAAUGAGUAUACAUCUGAAAUAUUAGAUCAUUUGUGCAUCCAGGAGAAGUGGUCAUUUGAUGAUCCUGAACAAAGGAGAGAGUGUGUCAUGAAACAUGCACAGCGAUUGUUUAGAUUUGCAAGGAGCAAAUUGAAAAGAAAGUACUUUAGUAAGCUGACAACAAAAGAAGAACGUCUCAAAAAUAAGCCAAGUCACAUGACUAAAGUUGAAUGGAAGUUCUUGGUCGACUAUUGGAGUAAUGAUACAGUUUUGGAGAAGAGUAAAAAAGCAAGUGAAAGUAGGGCUCAUCAAAAGAUGCCUCACUACAAUGGUACUAAAAGCUUCGGUCGCGCUAGACAAGAAAUUAGGAAGAAGAAUGGUGGGAAGUGUUCUCGUGUUGAUCUACUACUUGCAUCUCGUACGAGAAAGUCUGAGAAGGCUGUGAAUGUAAUAACUUUAGAAAAUAACACCCGUGCAGUAGAUGAGAUAAACAAACUAAAGGAGCAAAGGGAUCAAGGUCUCAAUGAGAAAACGGAUGAGCAAAUCAUUCAAGAUGUGCUUGGCAAAGAUACAUACGGGUACUUGAAAGCUUAUGGACCUGGUAGAAGUAUUACACAACAUUUCAAAGUAAAGCCUUCUUGAUUAGAUCUUUCUGAAGAGGUGAAUGAAGUUAAAAAGAAAGCAAAUCAAGCAAUUGAAGAAGCAAAAAAAGAUGCUGAAAAUGCUAGAAUAGAAGCUGAACAAGCCAAAAAAGAAGCGGAAGCUAUUAGGAAUGAUGUAGACAAAAAAAUUGCAGAGAACAAUGAAGUUUGGGAGAAAAAAUUUAGUCAACUUUUGGAUUUUCUUGAAGCAGGAGGUUCUUUGAAUAAUGAUGAUUCGGGAAGUGAAGGUGCAUCAAAAGUGAAGUAAAAAGAAGACUGCGAAGCACAAGAUAUACUACAUUUAUCAAAUUACAUAUAAUGUAAUAUUUUUAUUUUUCUAUGGUAGAAGGAUUAGAAGGCCACAUUACUCUUUUUAUCUUGGUCUGAAAAAACCAAAUGUGCUUUAUUUGAAUGAAAAAAAAUGUCAUUUUAAAUUUUCAAGCCACGAACCAACGACAAAGAUCAUUGAUAGUAAAUUUGGUAGACAUGGUAAAAAUUCGUGACAAACAACUUUAGCCACGAUAGUAUUUGUG